rnacentral:piRNA from 1 species
UUGGCAUUCUGUAUCAUAAGAAAGAGA